CUGGGGCCCAGCCAAGCCUCCAAAAGGCCCCAGGCUGCACAGUUUGAAAACAACUGAUUCAAUCCCUUCAUUUUACAGAGAAAGAAACCCAUGGAAAGUGGAGAAACGUGGAAAGGUGACAAAGAUAAAUGGGAUUAAUAGAUGAGCCGCAGAUGUAUCUGUAGAGCGAAGACUACACCCAGAGAUAACCAGUCUUGUGGCUUUGGAGGUAGGAGGAGACGGUAGGGCAGUUGGCAGAGGCUGCGAGGAAGCACGGCAGCGGGUACUGCGUCAACAGUGAGAACCGCAGAUUAGAGGCCCAGAGCCCUGCCUGAGCGCUGCAGUUUCAAGGAGGGGACUUCCGUAUCCGAUGCCGGAAGCUGGGCAGGGCUGAUUAUGGAGCGGAGCAGGGAGCAUCUGGUCCUCUAUGAUCACCACCUGGGCAGCGUCAACGUGACGGCAUCAGAGCUGCCAGGGAGGGAGCCGCGCGGAGGGAGAGUCCAGGAUAAGGUGAAGGUGGAAGGCAUUGUCUCUGCUCUCCUGUCAGCUG